CACCUAUGGGCUCAUACUUCACCGAGCUUCGUCGUCUCCAGCCGGGCAAUCUUCUGCCCUAAUAAUCUACCACCGUUUCGCCGUCCGUCGCCGGCGAAGUUCGCCGUCUCCGGCGAUCAAUGUUUUGAUAUUCAGGAAAUAGAGUGAAAAUUCGCGCAGUCCGGGCAACGAGAACUCCAAUUCUUCGAAUAUCUCAUCGUUUUCGAACAGAUUAUGCUCAUUGAUGGCUCGCUUGUGACGAAAUGCCUCCAGAUGACUAUGUUAGUAUUUCAGCCGCUCUCUCUGCUUGUGCUAAUUUGCCUGCACAACAUCAUGGAAAAGAGAUUCAUGGUUUCAUUACGAAACAUCAAAUUGCUGAUGUUCAUGCCGAGAGUGCCUUGAUACUUGAUAGACAUGUAUGCUAAGUGUGGAAACCUUGAUUCUGCUAGACACAUGUUUGAGAUGAUGAGAGAAAAGAAUGAAGUUUCGUGGAAUAGCAUCAUUGCUAAAAGAUGCCCUCUUUCUAUUCCAUAAAAUGGUUGAGAAUGGAAUUCAGCCUGAUCAAAACACUUUUCUGGCAAUAAUAUCUGCAUGUGGUCAUGUCGGAGCUGUUGAUGAAGGAGUUCAUUACUUCGAAUCUAUGACGGAGGGUUAUGGAAUGCCUGCUCAGAUGGAGCAUUAUGCAUGUAUGGUGGACUUGUUUGGACGAGCUGGUCGUUUGAAUGAAGUCUUUGAGACCAUAAAAAGCAUGCCAUUUCCGGCAGAUGCAGGAGUUUGGGGACACUGCUUGGAGCUUGCAGAGUUCACAGAAAUAUCGAGCUUGCCAAAGUUGCUUCGGCUGAAGGAAGUCACCCACAGUCUGGGCAGGUCUACUCCUUGCUGAAGUUGCUUCUCGAGGAGUUGAAGAGAGAGAAGGCUAUAUUCCACAGCCCUUACCUUCCAAUGCACCCACAGACGUUGAGAGUGUCUGCCCAUCAUCUCUCCUGUCCCGAUAGCUAAAUUUCACCACCACAGAAUGUAGCAAAAAAGAUCCUUGGACAUUCGUGGUUGCAAACAGGAGAGUCCAGGACUGUUUGAACUCUGAAUCACUAAAGGAAUCUCUUCAGAUGCCGCAUUCUCAUAUUGUACUCCAUUGAUUCUCUUCUAAGGGUGCAGUACUCUGCUGAAUCGAUGUGGACAAGUGACGUCUGAUUAGGACCUAAACCUGUUCUCACUUCUCAUAAAGGAGGUGGUGUUGUCAAUCUGAUGAUGGAUCAUUGAAAUCAGUUUUUUGGUGAUGAUUUCGAGAAGGAUCCGGUCUCCAUAUUGCGAUGUCUAGUCAAGGCUUCUUCCUUCUCCCAUCUUCUCAUAAGACGGUGUCUCUCCCCGAAGGUUCAUGGGUUGUUUUCGCAUCAUUUCUAAACAAUGCAGGAACAAACGAACAUCAAAGAUCAGGUUGAAAUCAAUAAAGCCAGAGUCAUGCUUGAUUGCAGCAUGGAGAAAACCCUAUGACCAGAGUGGACAAGACAGGGAGGAGGCGCAACAUACAAAAUUGCCAGCCCCCUCUUUACAUAUACAUUUAAACUCUUUCGAAACGUGAAAUAUUACGUUUGCGGUUUGACGACGAUGACGCUGAUGCAACAAUCAAUUUCUCAUGCAUCCAAACGCAACUCGGAAAACGGAGGAGAUUCUAUGGCAUUUGCGUUGCGACAGCUGCGGCAAAUGAGCGUUUUUGCCACCGCAGCUGUUGCAAGUCUUCAGCAAGACAAUCACAUCUUCAGAUGCUCACCUCUGUUCUUGGAAGUGAAGAAGAAGCCAAAAAGGCACUGAUCUAUAGUUACAGCAAUGGCUUUUCUGGCUUUGCAGCCAAGCUUUCACCACCCAUGGCAGAGAUGAUCAUGGCGGAAGAAGUGGUCGAGGUCGAAGUUGGAACCGUGGUCGUGGUCGUGGUUUUGGAAGAAACUUUGGAGGAAGGUACGAUAAAUCUUGGAUUCAAUGUCAUAUUUGCAAGAAAUUUGGUCAUUAUUUCUAUGAAUGUUAGCAUAAUCCCGAUAAUGAUCGGGGAGAGAAAGUCAAUAUAGUCAACAAAGAAGACGGUGAUACAGAAGAAGUGUUGAUGUUAUCACAACCGGUGAAAAUCAAAGACAUGAUACCAGAGGAAGCUUGGAGCUUACGAAAGCCGAAGGUUGAUCAUCUCAGAAUCUUCGGGUGUGUGGCAUAUGCAAAAGUGCAGGAAGGAAAAAGGCGAACAAAGCUUGAGGAUCAAGGUUAGAAAUGCAUAUUUUUGGGUUAUGGUGAAAAUUGCAGGGGAUUGUAUAAUCUCGACACUCGCAAAAUCAUAAUGUCUUGAGAUGUUGAGUUUGAUGAGGAGAAGAGUUGGGAUUGGAAUGGUAGCAAUCAAUCGCAGAGGAUCAUUCUUGACGAAGUUACCAGGAAGAAGAGGCGGAUAAAGACCAAAGAUACAUUUCAAUCUUUUCGGAAGAAGCUCGGAGUCCAAGUUCGAGGAGGAACAAGUUUAAGGGGGAUAAUGUUGGAGUAUAAACUUGUUUUGGUGUCCUAGAAGUUUGUGUUCAUCUAGAGUCUUGUGUUCCUAGAAUUCUACAACUUAGACUAAAUUAAUAUUGUAUGAUUAUGAAGAGUUGGUAGAAUCUUCCUAAGGCUAGUAUAUAUAUAUGUGUCAUUUGAAGUUUGUAAUAAUAACAAAAACACAAGAAAAGAAAUAAAAAGAAGUGUUUGAGUUUUUUUUUUCUCUUCUCUUCACAUUAUCUAUUACCAUUUCUGGAAACAACAAAGAAAAGAUUCUGAAUUUAAUAUUAGCUGAAAGUAAUUGAAACUGUAUUUUAAUUUUCAUGAAAAGGUACCUCUCAACAAGGUUCUUGAUGGAUGUGGCAUCAACUCUACCUUGUGAAGCAAUUGGAUACUUGGUCACUGGCAAACCGAAUCUGAGCAUCUCUUGCUCGCUCCUUGGAUUGCUCAGAUUUUGGCGAAUCCGACGUGUCAAGCAUCUCUUCACAAGGCUCGCGAAGGACAUAAGGUUCAGCUACCUCUGGGUCCGUUGCCUCCGUCUUCUAUCCGUGAGUGGCAAGAGAUGCUUCUUACUCAGAAUUGCCAUAUAAAUAAACAUAACAUCUUAAAUACUGCCGCAUUAUAUAAAAAAAAACGUCUUAAAUACCGCAGUAUAGAUACGAAUUGAAACUCUUAAUACAUGGAACGAGUCUUUCGGUAAGAUACAUCUCAGCCAUUUACUGGUCUAUCACCACAAUGACCACUGUGGGCUAUGGAGAUCUGCAUGCAGUCAACACCAUGGAGAUGAUGAUAUUCAUCAUAUUCUACAUGCUCUUCAAUCUCGGCCUCACUGCUUACCUUAUAGGUUGCAUGACUAACUUGGUUGUGGAAGGGGGACUGUCGUACCAUGGAAUUCGUGAGUCUCCUUUCACUGCUUUUGUAAUAUUUCAGAAAUUUUCCUCCUUUUUUCCUGGAUGUGCUGUAUUGGGUCGGUUUCCGAAAAGGGUAUUUUUGUAAUUACGGAUUCAAAAACAGUGCGAUGUGAAACUUGUG